CCUGAUUGUCUUUUGAAUUGUUUUACAGUUUUGAGUUUCAUAUAUUAAAAUUUUUCAUAUAUUUUUAAUAUCUAGGUUAUGUGUCCUUUUUUUCAUGAAAUUCAUUACACUAGGCUAUAUAUUCUAAACUCUAGGAGUUGGCUGAUCCCUAACAUUGACUGACCUAGGAUAAUAACAGUACAAAGGAAGCCCAAAUAGUACAUAUCUAAAUAUAUUAAAGUUAUAAUUCAAGCUAACAUUAUAAUACGCUCUACGUUUCUACCUUGACAAAUGUAUUCUUUAUGACCCGAAAGACCAGGUUUAAAUUUAGAAUUCUAGUCUCUUUGGAGUUCCUCUUUAGAUUGUGGUUGCCCAGAGAGCUGGCACAUGGCCCACAGAAUGUCCUCAUUUUCUUCCCACCCCUGGCCCCAUCCUGAUUCCAAGAAUACCCCAAGCCAGGCACAGUGAUCAUAGAUCUAGAAACUUUAUCAGAUUCAGAUUCAACAUUUCUGGCAAUCUUUUAUAGUAUUGUCAACCCCUGUGAUUUCUGAAGCUGUACCAGCCAAUUUGGAAUCAUCAAAGAAGCCAAUUUCAGAGAAAAAGCCAACAGGCUAAGAAUGGCAAACAGAACGAUGGGAAGAACCUGAGCCCUUGAUGAGGUCAAAGAGGACAUGCCCCAUCUCCAAAUUAAUGCAACCCUGGAUCACAACAUACCUGUGGAGAGUUCCCAAGGGUUUAGGAGGCAGCACUUCUCUCCAAGAAGUCCACCUUUCCUUCAAGCCUAAGAAGCAAGUUUAGAUUGCCAUGGCCCAGGGCCUUAGGAUGCUCCAGGUGGCCUUCCUAGCCGUAGCCCCACAGGCCUUCAUCCACAGCCAGCCAGGAGCAUCUACAGAUCACCCACACCCAGGUUCAAGGACCCGGAGAGGGUUGUUGUGAAGCUCUGAGAAUGUCCCCCAUGAGUUCCAGAACAUUUUUCUUUCCCAUUUUAUGGGAUUAUCACAUUUCUUAGUAAUCAGGCAGGGCAGAACCAGAGAACUGUGAUCAUGGGCACCUGGGUGGAAUAAACUGUUACU